CCAAGACACAACGGAACAAUGGUUACAAUAUUCAUGGUGAAAAUGAUUUUCAGUUAUCCAUCAGGGAUAAUAAUAGACUAAAGAUAUUUUUUAAACAACUUAGAGAAUUUAUUUAGAAAGUAGAAAAUAAAAAGUAUGACUCUAGCAUCUAUUUAGAAUAUGAACAAAACUAGAAACAGUUAAACUACAGAAAAAAAGGCAGAGAUCCUGAAGUUGGCUUAAUGGCUAUCCAGUACAAACAGGCAAAACCCAAGUUACUUUCAUGCAAAUAAGCAUUAAGAAAAAGAAUAUGGGAAUGUUUACAGAAUGUGUCAUGGCAAAUAUUUUUCAAAUUUACAUAAGAAACUGUACAUAAAUGAGGCAAUUUACAAGAAUUAGGUAAUUUACAAGAAAUGUUUUACAGGUUACAGUAGGAUAUAACUUAUUAUGAAUAAAAUUUGUAGCACAUCAUACAUUUUUACAUCACAGAUUCAGUGUUAAAAGAAUUCAGACAUGAUAAAACUUAGACUUG